rnacentral:rRNA from 1 species
UACAGAGACUGCAAGCGUUAUUCGGAUUCACUGGGCGUAAAGGGUGCGCAGGCGGUUGGGUGUGUCAGAUGUGAAAUCCCGAGGCUUAACCUCGGAACUGCGUCUGAAACUACUCGACUAGGGUACUGGAGAGGGUAACGGAAUUCACGGUGUAGCAGUGAAAUGCGUAGAUAUCGUGAGGAACACCAGAGGCGAAGGCGGUUACCUGGACAGUUACUGACGCUCAGGCACGAAAGCAUGGGGAGCAAAAGGG